rnacentral:lncRNA from 1 species
ACCAUUUCUUCCUUUCUUAAUACCAAGAUACCGCCUUCACAAUCUCAUUUCCUUCUCUGCACAACUCCACCGAAACCACUGCAAUCCCUCUCCACAACCGCACCUCACCUCUUCCUUUACCUUAGACCGAGAGCAAGAGAGAGUGAGAGCUGUAGUCUCGGUUCCAUUGACAAGAGUGAGCAGGAGGGAGCCGAGCUUCUUGUUUCUUUUCUUUCUGUCCAUAAACCAGAGAGGGAAGAGAGGGACUUGUGAUUCGGUCUGUCUUCCAUCCGUGAGCUGGUGCAGAGCUUGAGACCAGAGUUCCUUCAUCCAGCCGCAAGCCAGAGCAAGGGAGAGAGGAAGAGAGAGCUAGCGGUCUGCAUUUUUUUUCUGGACAGCUGAGAGUGAGAAUUGUUGCAGCUGCUAGUUGUGUGUUUUAGGCUUCAAGCUAAGGUAAAUUCUGGACUUAGAUGAAUUGUUUACGGGUUGAUGAAGCUGUCUAUACGCAUGCAUGUGGGUUUGUGAGGUUAGAUGAGGAUUUGAGACUUAAGAAAUCUGAUUUGGAAAAGAAUUAAAGCUGUCGAAAGUUUGAAGCUGGAAUUGCAGCUUGUUUCUGGAAAUUUGCUGGAAAAUGGUUGACUUUCACUUGGUUAGGUGCUUGACUAAUUAAAAUCAGAAGAUUAAGCUUUGCAUGAAAUUAUCAGACCGGCUAAGCAAGAGAAAUAAAAUAAAAAUGAAACAGAAUCUGCUACAUGCAAGCUCAUCCGAGAGUAGUUGCACAAAUUUCUGGAGUUAUGGAUGAAUUUUGUUGUUGUCGAACUGAUUUCUGGUCUGGAUAUGAUAGCUAAUUAAUUCAGCAGUUGUGCAUGUGAGAUUUAAGUGCCAAAUACAAGGUUUUAACCGAAGGAAAAUUUUGUUUAUGACUGAGUCAAUGCUGGAAAAUUUACGUGACUUGCCAAGGGAGUGAAACCAGAAUUUGCAGUUGUUUCUGGAAUUUUUUUUUUUCAUUAGCAAACAAUGUUUAGAAAUGCAUGAAAUAUAUGUGUCUUAAGUCUUGUAAGAUAUUCAGUUGUAAAGUACUUGAUCCGUUGGAUAAAUUGACCAAAAAAGUUGAAACAUAGCUGCUGCAAUUUUUUCCAGCUUAGCCGAUGGUGGCUCUUUUGAGUUUUAAUGGAAACUUGGUGAGUGGGCUCUAUGAAUUCCCACAAUGACUUGGAUGAUCUGAUUAGCUAGUCAAGUAUUUGCUUGUCGGAUUUGAGUACUUAAUAUCAUGUAUUAGCCGAGUAAAAAGUUGGAUUUAUGACCAAUUAGCUGCUGGAAAUUCUGUUUAGCCGAUGACAGAUUUAUUGUGGUGGGAUUAUUUGCCAAAAUUACAUGUUAUUUGUUUUAUUUCAUAUCGAAAAAUUUUGAUGGUGGGCUCUAUGAACUUCCACCCUUGGAUUAACGAUUGAUGAUGGAUAUAAUGCUAGUUUAGUGCUUAAAUGGGUAGAUUAAUGAUACCUAGCUAGUCUCGACUUCAAGGGAUGUGUAGUUAAAAAAUGUUCAGGUUUGCCCUGUUUCAAUCGCACCCCUUUUUGCAGAAUUUUGAGGGUUUCAUGACUUAUAUAUCAUGUUUAUAUGUUGAAUAUAUGGUGUAUAAAGUUUCAUUUAAAAAUAUUGGGGUUUGGUUGGUCAAUGGGAUCAAUUUCGUGAAGUCAGUAAAUCUGGAAAACUGUUUUCGUAAUACUCUGACCAGCUUCCGUAUUUCGGCCAUAAUUUUGAGCUCCGAUGUCGAAAUCGAGUGCCACCAGCGGCAUUUGAAACUAGACAUUCCAACCUUUCCGACGGUAUAAUAUGCACGUUCUGGUUCCAUGUACGUGAGCCAAACCAACCAUUUUAAGUCGGCUAUUCUGUUUCUCUGUUUUACAAGAACAAAAUGCUGAGGCUGCAACUUGUGACUCGAAUUCCAGCUAGUUGUACGCCAAAUUUCAAAAUGAUUUCUUCUGUGAAAUUAUAGCUUUAUGAAUUUAUUUUCCAAUGCCUUAAACUAUGCCCAAUUCCGAGUUAAUUUGAGUGAUUGGUGAUCAAAAUACGGAACCUGCCCUGCUCUUGAAAACCCUGAUUUUUAGAAUGAUUUGAUGCAAGGCUCGGUUUAGACUUGAUAAUUAAUUUCUUGGUGUUAAACACCCACCAAAUGUACCAUGAACGUUCUUUAAAUUUUGCCUAAACAAAUGAACCAGGUUUGGAGGAAUUUUUCUUUGACCAAAUGCCUGAAAUGGAAAAACAAAAGGUUCAAGGCAGUUUUGUCUUAGUAUUUGCGAAAUUUUAGGUGUUUGAUUGACCACCUUUCCGAAGUUAUUUUUCCAUGAAAUUUGGUAGAGGAACAACCCUUAUAUGGUAGUAUUAUACUGCUAAUUAUGGUGUUAUUCUGAGGCCGUUUCAUGGGUCAAAUAAAUUACCAAAGUUCAUGACUCGAGUUUGAAAAACCCAUGUUUCACAAGGGAAUUUUAGUAACUUUGAGCUACCGUAUCUUGGUGCUCAAAACCCCGUUUCUUGUUCCGUUUGUUUUGUUAUACUCUUGGAUUACAACACUAAUAGAGUUGAAAAUUUCAAAAGCUAGUUCCAAACAAGUGAAUUUUGCCGAAAUUCCAAAGUUGGCCAAAAACCAACUUAAAUCUGCCUUAUGAACCAAAACAGUAACUUUGAGCCCAUUUUUUGACUAUCUUCCAUUUAGAAUCAUGGAAAAGUGUAUUCUAAGAACUUUUAGUACUUUCAAAGAGGUUUCCAAUAGUACCAAGUUUUCCAAUUUUGGGCUUGUAGAGAGUAAGAUAUGAUUUUUCAAAAAUUACUUGUUAAAUCUGGAAUUUUCUAACUUAAAGGAAACUAAGGGGUUUCGAACUCUUCAUUUCUUUCAAUAUCAUUUGAUUGUUUUACAUUUGAAUCCAGAGAUGGAAAUCAGAUUUGUCUUGUGUUCUAAAACUCCACUUUUGAAUCUCGAGUUACACGAAUUCUUAGACUCAUCUCCGCGUUAAUUUCUUAGAUUGCACUAGCGUACAAUCUUCAUCGAAAACUAGAGAAUUCGUAGCGAUAUUGAGUGGUACUUGAAUUAUUGUUUGCUCAGGCAAUCGAGGAGAUCUCCAAGAGGAACUCGGAGCGGACGCCUUAAACGCUUGUUUGAGACCUAUUGCCCUUGUUGCUAGGUGAGUGUUCCAUAUAGGAAUACAUAAUUGAGUAAGUUUAGGACAUGCUCAUUUCAUGAUUGUUAAGUAUUUACCAUACUCGUGCCUAUUUAAGAAAUAUAUACUUGCAUUGCAUAUCGACAUGAAUUGGUUAAAUGAUUAACCCUAUCAAAUGACCGUGUAAACUCAAUACAUGCUUAGCCUGCUUGUUUUAUGCUUAUUUGGUUAAAGUGCUUUCGUGACUCGUUAUGUGACAAUUUGGAAAAUGAUUUCCGAUCCAUCGCAGUGAGCAGGGUGUACUUUAUCAGACUAGCCAUUCGAGUGGUGACUUGCGUGAAACAUUUUCUCGUGAAUCUAAAUGUAGUUGCGUCGUUGGGUGAAUCCCUCGACUCGUGAAUCCAAUGUUUUCGUGAACGUCUUACAAGUGUUGGACGUAACGUCGUUGGAGUGAAUCUCCUCGACUCUCACAUGGUAAAAAUGGGAUAACGGCCAAUGAUGGCCUAUUAAUAUGGCAAAUGCCUGCCAAAUAACCGUCAUUACUCAACCGUUAACCGCCAACCGUUAACCGUUAACCGUGAACCGUGUACCAACCCACAUGACUACUUGAUUACUUGAUUAUCAUGAAUCACAUGUUAUAUGAAGUUGUCCAUCAUUGUUAGGCGAGUGUGUACUUUACCUCACUCGACCUAUUCAAAUGAUGAAUUUUACUUUUUGUCGUAUUACUUGAUUACCUGUGCAUGUUGUAAGCUAUAAGCUGAACUUGGGCCCUGCCUCGGUUACUGACCUACUCGAGUCAGGACUGGGCUCGGUCGGGUAGGUUGGAACCCUGGACAACCGUUUCGGUAUACUCGAGUACUACCACUGGAGGGAUAAGGUGAUGGCCAGCCAACCGAAGGAGUUACCGAUCGAAGUUAUAAGGACGGGAAGUGGACCGAGUACUGUAUCCUUUUGUGCUUGCUUUGCUAUUAAUAAUGUUAUUGCUCUCCUAGUUGACAUUUCUCGGGUAAGACUCCUCAUGAGCAUUAAUCUCUGAGAUGAAGCAAUCCUUGUAAUGUUCUUCUAGUCAGACGAGGCCCUAUUUGUUUGACUAAAAAUUCAUGAAAAUAUAUUUACAUGGUCAUUCAUUCCAAAAAUACGUUAGUGAUUUUAGAUAAUUUAUGAGUUGUACUCAUAGUAAGGUUACCAGCAAAAGUACUACUUCUAUAUGUGUUUUCAAAGUAGCAAUUACCCGAGUAAUGAUUAUCACCUCAUGAUAACAUGCCAUUGUGUAAUCUCAAACCAUGCAUAUGACAUGCACAACUUUCUUGAUUUGUUUGAACUGUUAGAGUGUCUUGGAACCUCACUGGACUGUGUAGCUCAUCCCACGUUGUGAUUUUCUUUUACAGGAUUCGAGACCAAAGGUGCUCGGAAGUAGUACUAGAUUGUUUACUUUUAUGAAUGUAAUUCGGAGUUAAACAAUGUAGUUUUGCUUGGGUUGCCACUUGAAGCUGGAAAAGUGUAAACCCUGGAUUUGUAUGUGUCUUGUAUGAAAUUGUUACUUGGAUUGUAAGGAUGUAUUUGAAUUGUAUGUUUUGUUUCUUGGGUUGUGUUCGGGAAGGUAUAUUAAGAAUCGACGUUGGCUAUUUUAAGGCACUGUUAUCUCUGAAGUUAAUGUGAUUCUAGAAACCGGCUUAUUUGGAGGGAAA